AUUGAACGCUGGCGGCAUGCUUUACACAUGCAAGUCGAACGGUAACAGGCCGCAAGGUGCUGACGAGUGGCGAACGGGUGAGUAAUGCAUCGGAACGUGCCCAGUCGUGGGAGAUAACGCAGCGAAAGCUGCGCUAAUACCGCAUACGAUCUAUGGAUGAAAGCGGGGGACCGUAAGGCCUCGCGCGAUUGGAGCGGCCGAUGUCAGAUUAGGUAGUUGGUGGGGUAAAGGCUCACCAAGCCAACGAUCUGUAGCUGGUCUGAGAGGACGACCAGCCACACUGGGACUGAGACACGGCCCAGACUCCUACGGGAGGCAGCAGUGGGGAAUUUUGGACAAUGGGCGCAAGCCUGAUCCAGCAAUGCCGCGUGCAGGAAGAAGGCCUUCGGGUUGUAAACUGCUUUUGUACGGAACGAAACGGUCUGGGUUAAUACCUCGGGCUAAUGACGGUACCGUAAGAAUAAGCACCGGCUAACUACGUGCCAGCCGCCGCCGUAAUAC
rnacentral:rRNA from 1 species